rnacentral:lncRNA from 1 species
GUACGCGGAGACAAGUCAAAGGGGUAUGCUACUUUCUUCUUCCCUUUUUCUUAUUUUUAUCUUUUGGUUACCUUUGCCUGCUCUGGAUAAAGUAUCACUCUACUCAUUAAUGGUACGGAAGUUAGUCACAUAAUAAAACUGUGAGAUCAAUCGAAUAUGGAUAAGUCAAUAAAUGUAAAUUUUAUUUUAUAAAUUUUAAAAUUUAUAUUUUGAUAAUUAUUUAUAUAUAAAAAAUAUUUUUUACUGAUAUUUGUGAGUUUCAGGGGAGAAGCAGAAAAGAUGAAUAAUUUGGCUCUUGCAGUGGUCGAAGUACCAGUUACCUGGAGGAGUAUCUUAGUGGGUUGGAUCUCACUGCGAUGAUGGUUGUAGUGGACCCGGUUAAGAAAGAAUAAGAUAAGGGCAAGAGAGAUGUCACUUCAUCAGUAACAACAGUACCCAUUUAACAGUGUGACACGAGCAAGCAUUCAGCAGUCAUUCAACUCUUCAUUUUCUUACAUUAAAAUAAUAAAUAAAUGUCAC